UCACUCCUUCAAAGACAUUAAUAAGGUCCUGGAAACCACUACAAAACCAAACAAGAGUAACACAAACACAUUCAAGAAGCCGAUGAACGAGUGUCAACGGCUU